CUCUACUUCUCUCUCUACCUCUGCAGCCACGGGGAGUAGUCGACGGUGAGGUACUCCCGAUACGGGCGACAGUACACCUGCGCGCCGCCGCCGCCCGCAGUGACGACGAACCCGAACGCGAUGAGGCCGAGGAGGAAGACGAUGAGGAGCAUCACGACGGCGAGGUACAGCCACAGCGCCUAGGCCACGUGGAAGCAGGCGCCGACGAAGCCGGUGAGGGAGACGAGCAGCACGGCGAAGCCGACGGCGAGGAGUGGUGCUUGAAGGAUGGAGGAGCACGUGGCCGUGGCCGAGCCCUUGGCCAGCCAGAGGCCCGCCCUGAUGACCGGGAUCGAGGCCAGCAGCGUCGCCAGACUCAGG
rnacentral:misc_RNA from 1 species